rnacentral:ncRNA from 1 species
UCGUGCUGGGGAUAGAGCAUUGCAAUUAUUGCUCUUCAACGAGGAAUUCCUAGUAGGCGCGAGUCAUCAGCUCGUGCCGACUACGUCCCUGCCCUUUGUACACACCGCCCGUCGCUACUACCGAUUGAACGGCUAAGUGAGGCUUUCGGACUGGCUCAGGGAGGUCGGCAACGACCACCCAGAGCUGGAAAGUUGUCCAAACUUGGUCGUUUAGAGGAAGUAAAAGUCGUAACAAGGUUUCGCUACUUUAAGUAUGGAGCAAUC